UUAAUUUUUAGGAAUUAGAAACCUUUUCAGUUCUGGACUUCUCGUUCUCACUGCACUUGCUCUCUCGUUUCUCUCAAAAUUCCAAACUCCAAAGAUUCAACCAUCGAAGCGACUUGUUGCUCCUGUCACUCAGGCGAGGUGAUGAGUCUAACCAGCGAGGUGAAGAGUCUAACCAACAAGUCACAAUUUUACUCUAAUAACUCAGGUGCCUAGCGAAGCGACAACUACUCUAGUCAGGCAGUCACUCAGGUGAGGAAGCAAGAAGUUAGAAGUUCGACUGCUCGAGACUUCGAGUUUUACUCUUCUCAGUUAUCACGACUUCUACACAGUCCUACUCGGCUUACUCCAGUCUCACUGUCUCAGUUUCUCAACCUUUGCAAUUUAUGGUUUACUGUUAAAUGGAUUGUGGCAAAUUAAGGGUGCCUUACGGGUGUUGUUGGCUUGUUGUUGUGCUGAUUGUUGAAUGAGGAGGAGCAGGAGACAAGAGGAAAAGUGUCCAAAACAGAAACGCAUAAGGUUGUGAGAUUUAGUGCAGAGGUGACCCACGAAGGCCACCGAGGAGCGUAGAAGGUGACCGCCUACUGGAAGUUCAGGCAUCUAACUCGGGGAAAUCUGACCAAGUGUGGGGAUACGGAAGGAUCGGUGGUCCGUCCUAUUAAAUCGUUGAUCUGAUAAGAGAAUAUCCCAGUACCCGAAGUUGAAGAAAAUCUAAGUAUGGAACGAUGGAAGGCAUCGACGGACCGUGUUGUUGGUCCGUUAGUUGAAUCAGAGAAUAUGCCAGUUGAAGGAUUAAAAAAAGAUGCUAAGUCUGGACUUACGGAGGCAGUCGACGGUCCAUCGUUUCAUCGACGGUCCGCCGUUUCAUCGGCGGUCCGUCUGUGGGGGUUGUCGA